CUGGUGGAGAGGUUUUGUUCCCGUGUCGAUUUUGGCACAGUCCUUGAAGAAUGGGCCUCUUUCAAGGAGCAAGUGGUCUCUGGUCAACUCAAGAUCAAGACAAAGCUCGCUAUACUGUCUGAACUGUCCUCAAAAUAUGAGGAGUUUGGUGUUCUGUACCCAACUGAGCCUGCUGGCUUCCAUUGCCCCGACGGUCCCGGUCAGCAUUGUAAACUGUGAGAGGGACUUCUCAACCAUGAACAGAGUCAAGACAAACAUCCUUAUUUGGCUGCAAGGAUCUUGGAGCCUGCAUGCGGAUCUCGAUAAAUGGGCCAGAAGUUUCUGACUUCCCUUAUCAAGAGGCUCUGGAAAUGUUCUUCCAGAGGCCCAGAAAGAUACACUGCAGUGACAAAAGCUGCACA